UCCCCCGCCCCGGGUUCACCCCCUCGGGAGAGGGCGACGGGGCGCAGGGAGCGUGCGCGCGGCCCGCCCCGGGCGCGGGCGGAGAGGAGAAGGAGGGGCGCGCGCGGCUCCCAGCCCGCAGAAGCCGGGAGCCGCGCAGGAGGACGGAGCGCCAGCAGCGAGCCGCGCCGCACCGAUCUGAAUUUUAUCCACUGUAAUCAGGACUGCUCACCUAAGAAUUUCUGGAUCCAGACCAAGGGCUCCAGCAUUCACUGGAUUCUGCAGCAAGAAGGAUAUUGUGACUUAGGAUUCCCUGGUGGAAGACAACCACACACUCUGGUCUUACCCCGACGAUGCAA
rnacentral:lncRNA from 1 species